rnacentral:rRNA from 1 species
AGCGAACGCUGGCGGCAGGCCUAACACAUGCAAGUCGAACGAACUCUUCGGAGUUAGUGGCGGACGGGUGAGUAACACGUGGGGACGUGCCUUUAGGUUCGGAAUAACUCAGGGAAACUUGUGCUAAUACCGAAUGUGCCCUUCGGGGGAAAGAUUUAUCGCCUUUAGAGCGGCCCGCGUCUGAUUAGCUAGGUGGUGAGGUAAAGGCUCACCAAGGCGACGAUCAGUAGCUGGUCUGAGAGGAUAAUCAGCCACAUUGGGACUGAGACACGGCCCAAACUCCUACGGGAGGCAGCAGUGGGGAAUCUUGCGCAAUGGGCGAAAGCCUUACUCAGCCAUGCCGCGUGAAUGAUGAAGGUCUUAGGAUUGUAAAAUUCUUUCACCGGGGACGAUAAUGACGGUACCCGGAGAAGAAGCCCCGGCUAACUUCGUGCCAGCCGCCGCCGUAA